GUGGGGAAUAUUGGGCAAUGGGCGCAAGCCUGACCCAGCAACGCCGCGUGAAGGAAGAAGGCUUUCGGGUUGUAAACUUCUUUUACCAGGGACGAAACAAAUGACGGUACCUGGUGAAUAAGCCACGGCUAACUACGUGCCAGCAGCCGCGGUAAUACGUAGGUGGCGAGCGUUAUCCGGAUUUAUUGGGUGUAAAGGGCGUGUAGGCGGGACAGCAAGUCAGAUGUGAAAACCAGAGGCUCAACCUCUGGCCUGCAUUUGAAACUGUUGUUCUUGAGUGUCGGCGAGGUAAUCGGAAUUCCGUGUGUAGCGGUGAAAUGCGUAGAUAUACGGAGGAACACCAGUGGCGAAGGCGGAUUACUGGACGAUAACUGACGCUGAGGCGCGAAAGCGUGGGGAGCAAACAGGAUUAGAAACCCGUGUAGUCC
rnacentral:rRNA from 1 species